UACGUAGGGGGCAAGCGUUAUCCGGAUUCACUGGGUGUAAAGGGAGCGUAGACGGCGACGCAAGUCUGGAGUGAAAGCCCGGGGCCCAACCCCGGGACUGCUCUGGAAACUGCGUCGCUGGAGUACGGGAGGGGCAGGCGGAAUUCCUGGUGUAGCGGUGAAAUGCGUAGAUAUCAGGAGGAACACCGGCGGCGAAGGCGGCCUGCUGGACCGUGACUGACGUUGAGGCUCGAGAGCGUGGGGAGCAAGCAGG
rnacentral:rRNA from 1 species